rnacentral:rRNA from 1 species
UACGGAGGGCGCAAGCGUUACUCGGAAUCACUGGGCGUAAAGAGCGUGUAGGCGGGUUAAUAAGUCAGAAGUGAAAUCCAAUAGCUUAACUAUUGAACUGCUUUUGAAACUGUUAACCUAGAGUAUGGGAGAGGUAGAUGGAAUUUCUGGUGUAGGGGUAAAAUCCGUAGAGAUCAGAAGGAAUACCGAUUGCGAAGGCGAUCUACUGGAACAUAACUGACGCUGAGACGCGAAAGCGUGGGGAGCAAACAGGAUUAGAUACCCCCGUAGU